UACGGGGGGGGUAAGCGUUGUUCGGAAUUACUGGGCGUAAAGCGUGCGCAGGCGGUCUUGCAAGACAGAUGUGAAAUCCCCGGGCUUAACCUGGGAACUGCAUUUGUGACUGCAAGGCUGGAGUGCGGCAGAGGGGGAUGGAAUUCCGCGUGUAGCAGUGAAAUGCGUAGAUAUGCGGAGGAACACCGAUGGCGAAGGCAAUCCCCUGGGCCUGCACUGACGCUCAUGCACGAAAGCGUGGGGAGCAAACAGG
rnacentral:rRNA from 1 species